rnacentral:rRNA from 1 species
UACGUAGUGGGCAAGCGUUGUCCGGAAUCAUUGGGCGUAAAGAGCGUGUAGGCGGUCCGUUAAGUCGGCUGUGAAAGUCCAAGGCUCAACCUUGGGAUGCCGGUCGAUACUGCCGGACUAGAGUUCGGAAGAGGCGAGUGGAAUUCCCGGUGUAGCGGUGAAAUGCGCAGAUAUCGGGAGGAACACCUAUGGCGAAGGCAGCUCGCUGGGACGUUACUGACGCUGAGACGCGAAAGCUAGGGUAGCAAAUGGG